rnacentral:rRNA from 1 species
UAGGGAAUAUUGCACAAUGGGGGAAACCCUGAUGCAGCGACGCCGCGUGAGUGAUGAAGGCCUUCGGGUCGUAAAGCUCUGUCGUAUGGGACUAACAAAAUGAAGGUACCAUGCAAGAAAGGAUCGGCUAACUUCGUGCCAGCAGCCGCGGUAAGACGAGGGAUCCUAGCGUUGUUCGGAAUUAUUGGGCGUAAAGCGGGUGUAGGCGGACUUAUAAGUCAGGUGUGAAAUCCCAGGGCUCAACCCUGGAAGUGCACUUGAUACUGCAAGUCUUGAGUGUGGUAGAGGCUAUUAGAAUUCUUGGUGUAGUGGUGAAAUACGUAGAUAUCAAGAGGAAUACCGGAGGCGAAGGCGGAUAGCUGGGCCAACACUGACGCUGAGACCCGAAAGCGUGGGGAUCAAACAGGAUUAGAUACCCCAGUAGUCCCUGAGCGGGCUGGCAAGGCGCAU